rnacentral:misc_RNA from 1 species
ACCGCUCCUGAUCCAUCUCCACCUGGAGCAAGUUAUCCAAAUCCUGAGUCAGUAUAUGAGCAAUAUGUACUUUAUUUGGUUCACAGAGAUAAUUCCAAUUUGGAAAAUUUUAUUAAAUUUCAGAUACUUCUUAGCAUAAGGAGAAUAAGUUCACCAAAGCAGUAACAUAAGAGCCAGGACAAUCAAUCAUGUCAAAAAGUUGACCUUAAAGUAUUUUUCUUGGGGUGGAGGGGCAAUGUGUUUUACAUGGCAUUUGCCUUACAAUAACUCUUUAUGCAUCAUUUUCCUCUAUUCCACCUAAUGCAGAUGUCUAAAGCCACAAAAUUAUACCUGCAUACCACCCGAUCUGAACCCAAACCCAAUUUUAAAAUAUCUUUUUACUACCUGUCCCAAACCCAUUUAUCAUUACCCGCAUACCACGUAAACCCA